GGGUUGUAAACUUCUUUUAUAAAGGAAUAAAGUCGGGUAUGCAUACCCGUUUGCAUGUACUUUAUGAAUAAGGAUCGGCUAACUCCGUGCCAGCAGCCGCGGUAAUACGGAGGAUCCGAGCGUUAUCCGGAUUUAUUGGGUUUAAAGGGAGCGUAGAUGGAUGUUUAAGUCAGUUGUGAAAGUUUGCGGCUCAACCGUAAAAUUGCAGUUGAUACUGGAUGUCUUGAGUGCAGUUGAGGCAGGCGGAAUUCGUGGUGUAGCGGUGAAAUGCUUAGAUAUCACGAAGAACUCCGAUUGCGAAGGCAGCCUGCUAAGCUGCAACUGACAUUGAGGCUCGAAAGUGUGGGUAUCAAACAGGAUUACAUACCCUGGUAGUCCACACGGUAAA
rnacentral:rRNA from 1 species